UACGAAGGGGGCUAGCGUUGCUCGGAAUCACUGGGCGUAAAGAGCUCGUAGGCGGUGUGUCACGUCGGCCGUGAAAACCUGCAGCUUAACUGUGGGCGUGCGGUCGAUACGGGCAUCACUGGAGUUCGGCAGGGGAGACUGGAAUUCCUGGUGUAGCGGUGAAAUGCGUAGAUAUCGUAAGGAAGACCAGUGGCGAAGGCGGGUCUCUGGACAGUUCCUGACGCUGAGGCACGAAGGCCAGGGGAGCAAACGGG
rnacentral:rRNA from 1 species